UACGGAGGGAGCUAGCGUUGUUCGGAAUUACUGGGCGUAAAGCGCACGUAGGCGGCUUUGUAAGUUAGAGGUGAAAGCCCGGGGCUCAACUCCGGAACUGCCUUUAAGACUGCAUCGCUUGAAUCCGGGAGAGGUGAGUGGAACUGCGAGUGUAGAGGUGAAAUUCGUAGAUAUUCGCAAGAACACCAGUGGCGAAGGCGGCUCACUGGCCCGGUACUGACGCUGAGGUGCGAAAGCGUGGGGAGCAAACAGG
rnacentral:rRNA from 1 species